AGAGUUUGAUCAUGGCUCAGGAUGAACGCUGGCGGUAUGCUUUACACAUGCAAGUCGUACGAGAGUUUUUAACUCAAGUGGCGGACGGGUGAGUAACACGUAAGAAUUUGCCUUUAGGAGGGGGAUAACAACUGGAAACGGUUGCUAAUACCCCAUAUGCUUUAUGCUUUCGAGUGAAAAGUGAAAUGGUUUUUCCGCCUAAAGAGAAGCUUGCGGCUGAUUAGCUUGUUGGUGAGGUAAUGGCUCACCAAGGCGACGAUCAGUAUCUGGUUUGAGAGGACGAUCAGACACACUGGAACUGAGACACGGUCCAGACUCCUACGGGAGGCAGCAGUGGGGAAUUUUCCGCAAUGGGCGAAAGCCUGACGGAGCAAUACCGCGUGAGGGAUGACGGCCUAUGGGUUGUAAACCUCUUUUUUCAGGGAGGAAUCAAUGACGUGUACCUGAAGAAUAAGCAUCGGCUAACUCCGUGCCAGCAGCCGCGGUAAGACGGAGGAUGCAAGUGUUAUCCGGAAUCACUGGGCGUAAAGCGUCUGUAGGUGGUUUAAUAAGUCAACUGUUAAAUCUUGAGGCUCAACCUCAAAAUCGCAGUCGAAACUAUUAGACUAGAGUAUAGUAGGGGUAAAGGGAAUUUCCAGUGGAGCGGUGAAAUGCGUAGAGAUUGGAAAGAACACCGAUGGCGAAGGC
rnacentral:rRNA from 1 species